GUCCUCUCAAAGCAAUUCCCUGACAUCAACGCCAAACGUUCUAAGAGAAAAGUAUGAAACUCGAUGAUCUAGGCAGCAUGCAGAAGAUCAGUGACAACCAUAAACAGAUGAGUACUGAUCCCAACAUGUUAUCAGAGAAUCACGACGUUGAAAAUAUGCAAGCAUGCAUAAGCAUAACGCAAAAUGAACAAGGUAAACCAUUGCUUGUCUUGAUAAAAUAAAAAUAGUUCCUAUGACAACCAGAUGCAAGGGUUAUAUCAAAGACAAGACUGCUAAGCGCUAACACAUAAAAAGUGUGAUUUGUGCGUGGGUGCACUCACAAGGUUGUCAAAAUAACUUAUGGAGAGAGAGAUAGAAGAAAGAAACCAAUAAAUUAAGAAACAAAAACCAUUAUGCUCUUUAGGAUGAGAUUUGACAAAAAUGAGCAUUUGCCAUACCUGAUCAGGGAUUAGCACCCCAU
rnacentral:misc_RNA from 1 species